AUUGAACGCUGGCGGCAUGCCUUACACAUGCAAGUCGAACGGUAACAGGUCUUCGGAUGCUGACGAGUGGCGAACGGGUGAGUAAUACAUCGGAACGUGCCUAGUAGUGGGGGAUAACUACUCGAAAGAGUGGCUAAUACCGCAUGAGAUCUACGGAUGAAAGCAGGGGAUCGCAAGACCUUGUGCUACUAGAGCGGCCGAUGGCAGAUUAGGUAGUUGGUGGGAUAAAAGCUUACCAAGCCGACUAUCUGUAGCUGGUCUGAGCGGGAGAGCGACCAUAGAGCGGCUGAGAAACUGCACAGAUUAAUACUGGAGGAAUCAGUGGGGAAUUUUGGACAAUGGGCGUCAGCGUGCUCCAGCAAUGCCGCGUGGAGGAUGGAGGCCUUCGGGUUGUAAAUUGCUUUUUUACGGAACGAAAAGCACCCGGUUAAUACCCUGGGGUCAUGACGGUACCGUAAGAAUAAGCAUCGGCUAACUACGUGCCAGCCGCCGCAGUAA
rnacentral:rRNA from 1 species